rnacentral:rRNA from 1 species
ACGCUGGCGGCGUGCUUAACACAUGCAAGUCGAACGGAAAGGCCCUGCUUUUGUGGGGUGCUCGAGUGGCGAACGGGUGAGUAACACGUGAGUAACCUGCCCUUGACUUUGGGAUAACUUCAGGAAACUGGGGCUAAUACCGGAUAGGAGCUCCUGCUGCAUGGUGGGGGUUGGAAAGUUUCGGCGGUUGGGGAUGGACUCGCGGCUUAUCAGCUUGUUGGUGGGGUAGUGGCUUACCAAGGCUUUGACGGGUAGCCGGCCUGAGAGGGUGACCGGCCACAUUGGGACUGAGAUACGGCCCAGACUCCUACGGGAGGCAGCAGUGGGGAAUAUUGCACAAUGGGCGGAAGCCUGAUGCAGCAACGCCGCGUGCGGGAUGACGGCCUUCGGGUUGUAAACCGCUUUCGCCUGUGACGAAGCGUGAGUGACGGUAAUGGGUAAAGAAGCACCGGCUAACUACGUGCCAGCAGCCGCGGUGAUACGUAGGGUGCGAGCGUUGUCCGGAUUUAUUGGGCGUAAAGGGCUCGUAGGUGGUUGAUCGCGUCGGAAGUGUAAUCUUGGGGCUUAACCCUGAGCGUGCUUUCGAUACGGGUUGACUUGAGGAAGGUAGGGGAGAAUGGAAUUCCUGGUGGAGCGGUGGAAUGCGCAGAUAUCAGGAGGAACACCAGUGGCGAAGGCGGUUCUCUGGGCCUUUCCUGACGCUGAGGAGCGAAAGCGUGGGGAGCGAACAGGCUUAGAUACCCUGGUAGUCCACGCUGUAAACGGUGGGUACUAGGUGUGGGGUCCAUUCCACGGGUUCCGUGCCGUAGCUAACGCUUUAAGUACCCCGCCUGGGGAGUACGGCCGCAAGGCUAAAACUCAAAGGAAUUGACGGGGCCCCGCACAAGCGGCGGAGCAUGCGGAUUAAUUCGAUGCAACGCGUAGAACCUUACCUGGGUUUGACAUGGAUCGGGAGUGCUCAGAGAUGGGUGUGCUUCUUUUGGGGUCGGUUCACAGGUGGUGCAUGGCUGUCGUCAGCUCGUGUCGUGAGAUGUUGGGUUAAGUCCCGCAACGAGCGCAACCCUUGUUCACUGUUGCCAGCACGUUAUGGUGGGGACUCAGUGGAGACCGCCGGGGUCAACUCGGAGGAAGGUGGGGAUGACGUCAAGUCAUCAUGCCCCUUAUGUCCAGGGCUUCACGCAUGCUACAAUGGCUGGUACAGAGAGUGGCGAGCCUGUGAGGGUGAGCGAAUCUCGGAAAGCCGGUCUCAGUUCGGAUUGGGGUCUGCAACUCGACCUCAUGAAGUCGGAGUCGCUAGUAAUCGCAGAUCAGCAACGCUGCGGUGAAUACGUUCCCGGGGCUUGUACACACCGCCCGUCAAGUCAUGAAAGUUGGUAACACCCGAAGCCGGUGGCCUAACCGUUGUGGGGGAGCCGUCGAAGGUGGGACUGA